AAUUUCUAGCGGAUCUAGUAGUACUUAAGUCUAAGGGGAUAGAUGUGAUUCUUGGAAUGGACUGGUUGAGCCUGCAUGAUGGUCAUAUAGGGUGUGCUGAUAAGGUGGUACACCUGACCAAUCGGGAUGGAGUGCAAGUGACCUGUCACACUAGGGGAUGUGGUCCGGACCCCAUGGUGUUCAGCAUGGAGACCAAGACCUUAGAAGAAGUCCCGGUAGUGAGUGAAUACCCGGACGUCUUUCCUGA
rnacentral:lncRNA from 1 species